AAGUUGGAUUUAACCCACAAGAUUCUCAUCAGCUUCUUCCAUCCAUUGUUCGGCUUCUAAAGAAAUACAUGGUUCAGAGAAAGAUUGAAGAAAUAAACUUUACAUAUAUUGAGUGCUUGUAGUAUGCAUUUCACCAUCUGGCUCAUAAGACUCCUAAUGCAACAAAUAGUCUUUGCGGCUAUAAGAUUGUAACGGGUCAACCAUCAGACCGGUUGGGGGAGGACUUCUCAGAGCAGU